AGCGUACACGGUGGAUGCCCUGGCAGUCAGAGGCGAUGAAGGGCGUGCUAAUCUGCGAUAAGCGCCGGUAAGGUGAUAUGAACCGUUAUAACCGGCGAUACCCGAAUGGGGAAACCCAGUGUGACUCGUCACACUAUCAUUAACUGAAUCCAUAGGUUAAUGAGGCGAACCGGGGGAACUGAAACAUCUAAGUACCCCGAGGAAAAGAAAUCAACCGAGAUUCCCCCAGUAGCGGCGAGCGAACGGGGAGGAGCCCAGAGCCUGAAUCAGCAUGUGUGUUAGUGGAAGCGUCUGGAAAGGCGCGCGAUACAGGGUGACAGCCCCGUACACAAAAGCGCAUGUGCUGUGAGCUCGAUGAGUAGGGCGGGACACGUGGUAUCCUGUCUGAAUAUGGGGGGACCAUCCUCCAAGGCUAAAUACUCCUGACUGACCGAUAGUGAACCAGUACCGUGAGGGAAAGGCGAAAAGAACCCCGGCGAGGGGAGUGAAAAAGAACCUGAAACCGUGUACGUACAAGCAGUGGGAGCACAGGUUUACCUGUGUGACUGCGUACCUUUUGUAUAAUGGGUCAGCGACUUAUAUUCUGUAGCAAGGUUAACCGAAUAGGGGAGCCGGAGGGAAACCGAGUCUUAAUCGGGCGUUAAGUUGCAGGGUAUAGACCCGAAACCCGGUGAUCUAGCCAUGGGCAGGUUGAAGGUUGGGUAACACUAACUGGAGGACCGAACCGACUAAUGUUGAAAAAUUAGCGGAUGACCUGUGGCUGGGGGUGAAAGGCCAAUCAAACCGGGAGAUAGCUGGUUCUCCCCGAAAGCUAUUUAGGUAGCGCCUCGUGAAUUCAUCUCCGGGGGUAGAGCACUGUUUCGGCUAGGGGGCCAUCCCGGCUUACCAACCCGAUGCAAACUGCGAAUACCGGAGAAUGUUAUCACGGGAGACACACGGCGGGUGCUAACGUCCGUCGUGAAGAGGGAAACAACCCAGACCGCCAGCUAAGGUCCCAAAGUCAUGGUUAAGUGGGAAACGAUGUGGGAAGGCCCAGACAGCCAGGAUGUUGGCUUAGAAGCAGCCAUCAUUUAAAGAAAGCGUAAUAGCUCACUGGUCGAGUCGGCCUGCGCGGAAGAUGUAACGGGGCUAAACCAUGCACCGAAGCUGCGGCAGCGACGCUUAUGCGUUGUUGGGUAGGGGAGCGUUCUGUAAGCCUGUGAAGGUGUGUCGUGAGGCAUGCUGGAGGUAUCAGAAGUGCGAAUGCUGACAUAAGUAACGAUAAAGCGGGUGAAAAGCCCGCUCGCCGGAAGACCAAGGGUUCCUGUCCAACGUUAAUCGGGGCAGGGUGAGUCGACCCCUAAGGCGAGGCCGAAAGGCGUAGUCGAUGGGAAACGGGUUAAUAUUCCCGUACUUGGUGUUACUGCGAAGGGGGGACGGAGAAGGCUAUGUUGGCCGGGCGACGGUUGUCCCGGUUUAAGCGUGUAGGUGUGUGUUCCAGGUAAAUCCGGUUCACUUUAACACUGAGGCGUGAUGACGAGGCACUACGGUGCUGAAGUAACAAAUGCCCUGCUUCCAGGAAAAGCCUCUAAGCAUCAGGUAACAUCAAAUCGUACCCCAAACCGACACAGGUGGUCAGGUAGAGAAUACCAAGGCGCUUGAGAGAACUCGGGUGAAGGAACUAGGCAAAAUGGUGCCGUAACUUCGGGAGAAGGCACGCUGACACGUAGGUGAAGUGAUUUACUCACGGAGCUGAAGUCAGUCGAAGAUACCAGCUGGCUGCAACUGUUUAUUAAAAACACAGCACUGUGCAAACACGAAAGUGGACGUAUACGGUGUGACGCCUGCCCGGUGCCGGAAGGUUAAUUGAUGGGGUCAGCGCAAGCGAAGCUCCUGAUCGAAGCCCCGGUAAACGGCGGCCGUAACUAUAACGGUCCUAAGGUAGCGAAAUUCCUUGUCGGGUAAGUUCCGACCUGCACGAAUGGCGUAAUGAUGGCCAGGCUGUCUCCACCCGAGACUCAGUGAAAUUGAACUCGCUGUGAAGAUGCAGUGUACCCGCGGCAAGACGGAAAGACCCCGUGAACCUUUACUAUAGCUUGACACUGAACAUUGAGCCUUGAUGUGUAGGAUAGGUGGGAGGCUUUGAAGUGUGGACGCCAGUCUGCAUGGAGCCGACCUUGAAAUACCACCCUUUAAUGUUUGAUGUUCUAACGUGGACCCGUUACCCGGGUUGCGGACAGUGUCUGGUGGGUAGUUUGACUGGGGCGGUCUCCUCCUAAAGAGUAACGGAGGAGCACGAAGGUUGGCUAAUCCUGGUCGGACAUCAGGAGGUUAGUGCAAUGGCAUAAGCCAGCUUGACUGCGAGCGUGACGGCGCGAGCAGGUGCGAAAGCAGGUCAUAGUGAUCCGGUGGUUCUGAAUGGAAGGGCCAUCGCUCAACGGAUAAAAGGUACUCCGGGGAUAACAGGCUGAUACCGCCCAAGAGUUCAUAUCGACGGCGGUGUUUGGCACCUCGAUGUCGGCUCAUCACAUCCUGGGGCUGAAGUAGGUCCCAAGGGUAUGGCUGUUCGCCAUUUAAAGUGGUACGCGAGCUGGGUUUAGAACGUCGUGAGACAGUUCGGUCCCUAUCUGCCGUGGGCGCUGGAGAACUGAGGGGGGCUGCUCCUAGUACGAGAGGACCGGAGUGGACGCAUCACUGGUGUUCGGGUUGUCAUGCCAAUGGCACUGCCCGGUAGCUAAAUGCGGAAGAGAUAAGUGCUGAAAGCAUCUAAGCACGAAACUUGCCCCGAGAUGAGUUCU
rnacentral:rRNA from 1 species